CGUGAGACAGGUCGGUCUCUAUCCGCUGCCGGCGUAGGGGACUUGAGGGGAGCUGCCCCUAGUACGAGAGGACCGGGGUGGACGGACCUCUGGUGUGCCGGUUGUCGCGCCAGCGGCACCGCCGGGUAGCCAUGUCCGGAUGGGAUAACCGCUGAAAGCAUCUAAGCGGGAAGCCCACCCCAAGAUGAGGUCCCCCACUGGGAUAACCAGGUAAGGCCACCGGGAGACUACCGGUUCGAUAGGCCGCAGGUGGAAGCCCGGUAACGGGUGGAGCUGAGCGGUACUAAUUGGCCGAGGCCUUCCUCGCCCAU
rnacentral:rRNA from 1 species